rnacentral:rRNA from 1 species
CCUACGGGUGGCAGCAGUGAGGAAUAUUGGUCAAUGGGCGCGAGCCUGAACCAGCCAAGUCGCGUGAGGGAGUACGGCCCUACGGGUUGUAAACCUCUUUUGCCGGGGAGCAACGGGCGCCACGUGUGGCGUCACUGAGAGUACCCGGAGAAAAAGCAUCGGCUAACUCCGUGCCAGCAGCCGCGGUAAUACGGAGGAUGCGAGCGUUAUCCGGAUUUAUUGGGUUUAAAGGGUGCGUAGGCGGAUCGUUAAGUCAGUGGUCAAAUUGAGGGGCUCAACCCCUUCCCGCCAUUGAAACUGGCGUUCUUGAGUGGAAGAGAAGUAUGCGGAAUGCGUGGUGUAGCGGUGAAAUGCAUAGAUAUCACGCAGAACCCCGAUUGCGAAGGCAGCAUGCCGGCUUCCGACUGACGCUGAGGCACGAAGGCCAGGGGAGCGAAAGGGAUUAGAUACCCUUGUAGUC